rnacentral:rRNA from 1 species
GAUGAACGCUGGCGGCGUGCCUAAUACAUGCAAGUCGAACGAAGAUCUAGCUUGCUAGAUCUUAGUGGCGAACGGGUGAGUAAUACAUAAAUAAUCUGCCCAUAUGACUGGGAUAACUAUUGGAAACGAUAGCUAAUACCGGAUAGGUUGAUCGGAGGCAUCUCUGAUGAAUUAAAGUGGGAUUUCUACACAAAUGGAUGAGUUUAUGGCGCAUUAGUUAGUUGGUGGGGUAACGGCCUACCAAGACGAUGAUGCGUAGCCGACCUGAGAGGGUGACCGGCCACACUGGGACUGAGACACGGCCCAGACUCCUACGGGAGGCAGCAGUAGGGAAUUUUCGGCAAUGGGCGCAAGCCUGACCGAGCAACGCCGCGUGAGUGAUUAAGGCCUUCGGGUUGUAAAGCUCUGUUGUAAGGGAAGAACAUUCAGGAUAGGAAAUGACCUUGAACUGACGGUACCUUACCAGAAAGCCACGACUAACUACGUGCCAGCCGCCGCAGUAA